UGACGGUACCACUUGAAUAAGCUCCGGCUAACUACGUGCCAGCAGCCGCGGUAAUACGUAGGGAGCAAGCGUUAUCCGGAUUUACUGGGUGUAAAGGGCGUGUAGGCGGGACUGCAAGUCAGAUGUGAAAGCACGGGGCUCAACUCCGUGUCUGCAUUUGAAACUGUAGUUCUUGAGUGCUGGAGAGGCUAACGGAAUUCCUAGUGUAGCGGUGAAAUGCGUAGAUAUUAGGAGGAACACCAGUGGCGAAGGCGGUUAGCUGGACAGUAACUGACGCUGAGGCGCGAAAGCGUGGGUAGCAAACAGGAUUAGAUACCCUG
rnacentral:rRNA from 1 species